rnacentral:rRNA from 1 species
CAGCCUACGGGGGGCAGCAGUAGGGAAUCUUCCACAAUGGGCGAAAGCCUGAUGGAGCAACGCCGCGUGGGUGAAGAAGGUCUUCGGAUCGUAAAACUCUGUUGUUAGAGAAGAAAGUGCGUGAGAUUAUCUGUUCACGUUUCGACGGUAUCUAACCAGAAAGCCACGGCUAACUACGUGCCAGCAGCCGCGGUAAUACGUAGGGUGCAAGCGUUAUCCGGAUUUAUUGGGCGUAAAGGGAGCGCAGGCGGUUUUUUAAGUAUGAUGUGAAAUCCUUCGGCUUAACCGGGGUAGU